rnacentral:misc_RNA from 1 species
GAUGAAGAACGUAGCGAAACGCGAUAGUUAAUGUGAAUUGCAGAAUUCAGUGAAUCAUCGAGUCUUUGAACGCACAUUGCGCCCAUUGGUAUUCCGUUGGGCAUGUCUGUUUGAGCGUCAUUACAACAGUUCAGCGUAAGCUGGUUAUGAGUUCUGUUUUUUUAAACAAAAAACAGGCUUUAAAAUGUAUGUUCUGCAGGUCGCUUUGCUAAACCCUAAACAUUAAAUACUGUUCUAGUGAAGCAUUUGCGACUCUGCCUGAAAAAAAACUUUUGUUAAAGUUUGACCUCAGAUCAGACAAGGAUACCCGCUGAACUUAAGCAUAUCAAUAAGCGGGGA